rnacentral:rRNA from 1 species
UACAGAGGGGGCAAGCGUUAUUCGGAAUUAUUGGGCGUAAAGGGCGCGUAGGCGGCUUUGCAAGUGACGGGUGAAAUCCCUCGGCUUAACCGAGGAACUGCCUGUCAAACUGCAUGGCUUGAGACCGGGAGAGGUGAGUGGGAAUUCCCAGUGUAGCGGUGAAAAUGCGUAGAUAUUGGGAGGAACACCAGUGGCGAAGGCGGCUCACUGGACCGGUACUGGACGCUGAGGCGCGAAAGCGUGGGGAGCAAACAGG